ACUCCUACGGGAGGCAGCAGUAGGGAAUAUUGGUCAAUGGGCGAAAGCCUGAACCAGCCAUGCCGCGUGUCAGAUGAAGGUCCUCUGGAUUGUAAAAUGACUUUUCUACGGGAAGAAUGAGCCGUCUGCGGACGGAAGUUGACGGUACCGUAGGAAUAAGCACCGGCUAACUACGUGCCAGCAGCCGCGGUAAUACGUAGGGGUGCAAGCGUUGUCCGGAUUUACUGGGGUUUAAAGGGUACGUAGGCGGUUGUGCCAAGUCUGGGGUGAAAGUUUGCAGCUCAACUGUAAAAUUGCCUUGGAUACUGGUCGGCUAGAGUAGUGGAGCGGUGGCUGGAAUUUAUAGUGUAGCGGUGAAAUGCUUAGAUACUAUGAGGAACACCAAUUGCGAAGGCAGGUCACUGGUCACUAACUGACGCUGAGGUACGAAGUGUGGGAUCAAACAGGAUUAGAUACCCGU
rnacentral:rRNA from 1 species